rnacentral:rRNA from 1 species
UACCCGCAGCUCAAGUGGUGGUCAUUAUUAUUGGGCCUAAAGCGUCCGUAGCUGGCCUGUUAGAUGCCUGGGUAAAUCGAUGCGCUCAACGUAUCGAAUUCCGGGUAGACCGGCAGGCUCGAGACCGGGAGAGGUGUAGGCUACUCGCGGGGUAGGGGUAAAACCCUGUAAUCCUGCGGGGAGGACCAGUGGCGAAGGCGCUACACUAGAACGGCUCUGACAGUGAGGGACGAAGCCCUGGGGCGCAAACCGG